rnacentral:rRNA from 1 species
CGAAAGCGUGGGGAGCGAACAGGAUUAGAUACCCUGGUAGUCCACGCCGUAAACGAUGAGUGCUAAGUGUUAGGGGGUUUCCGCCCCUUAGUGCUGCAGCUAACGCAUUAAGCACUCCGCCUGGGGAGUACGGUCGCAAGACUGAAACUCAAAGGAAUUGACGGGGGCCCGCACAAGCGGUGGAGCAUGUGGUUUAAUUUGAAGCAACGCGAAGAACCUUACCAGGUCUUGACAUCCUCUGACAAUCCUAGAGAUAGGACGUCCCCUUCGGGGGCAGAGUGACAGGUGGUGCAUGGUUGUCGUCAGCUCGUGUCGUGAGAUGUUGGGUUAAGUCCCGCAACGAGCGCAACCCUUGAUCUUAGUUGCCAGCAUUCAGUUGGGCACUCUAAGGUGACUGCCGGUGACAAACCGGAGGAAGGUGGGGAUGACGUCAAAUCAUCAUGCCCCUUAUGACCUGGGCUACACACGUGCUACAAUGGGCAGAACAAAGGGCAGCGAAACCGCGAGGUUAAGCCAAUCCCACAAAUCUGUUCUCAGUUCGGAUCGCAGUCUGCAACUCGACUGCGUGAAGCUGGAAUCGCUAGUAAUCGCGGAUCAGCAUGCCGCGGUGAAUACGUUCCCGGGCCUUGUACACACCGCC